CUAUUAUUCUAAGUGUGAAUGUGUUUUACCUGGGUAGUAAUAGUUAUGAUCUUUAAACCCAAAGAAUUUGGCGGUAUUUCAUUCCAUUCAGAGGAACCUAUCUCGUAAUUGAUAGUACACGAUUAACUUUACUUAAUUUAUUUGUUUGUAUAUCUCCGUUAUCAGAAAAUCUUUUUGGGGUUAUAAUUUUCUUAUUAUUUCAUUAAAUUUUAUUUCAGGUCAAGGUGCAGCUUAUAAUUAAGAGUUUGAUGGGUUACAAUAAUUUUUUGUUAUUAUGAAUUUAAUUUUGUAAUAUUUUAAUGAAGGUGGAUUUGAUAGUAAUUUAAAUUAUUUAAUUUAAUUGAUAUUGGCUCUGAAAUGUGUACA
rnacentral:rRNA from 2 species